rnacentral:lncRNA from 1 species
GUUAUGUUAACACGUUCUUUCAGUGAACAUUAUUCCUUACCACUUUUGUCUUCACAGGACCACUGAUUCAUCACACUGAUGGGUGGAUUUCUGCCGGUGAGGUGAUGUGUCUGCAACUCAUCGUAGUACAUCCUAUCAGUGAAGAUGGGUGCUGCUGUGUGACUUUAGAAGCCUGGAUGUGCCUCGAAGAAAUGCUGAAGGACUCGGUGGCCUCUGCAGUUCAACCAGGACUCGUUUUAGGUUUGGCCGAACACUCAAACAGUGUUUUGCCCUGUCUCCAGAACCCCAAUGGACAGGAUUGUUAAUGACUCUCUGUGUUGGAAAUCUCACCAGGAAUUUGGCUCUGGAUGGAUUCGGCGUGCACCAACGUGCCCUGACUGUUUGACUGACUGAGGGUGUGGGUGGUAUUGUGUUGUGCAAUGUAGGGUCAAGGUUGUGGAUAUUGUAGCUUAGAUCGUAGAAUGCCGGCAUGUUGUUAGUUGGAGUUGAGCUUGUGGAUUAGUUGAUUAGUUUUGUGGUGGUUGAGGUGUGGUUUUUCGGUGACUUGACUGGGACUGAGAGCAACCAACCAACCAAAAAACAACCAAAAAAGGAGCAAGGAAUGCCAAAUGUGUCGCACAACAGGCACCAAGGAUUUCUCAAUGUAACCAUUGUGUGGAAACGGUGACAGCAAGGAGACAUUGUGGACAAAUGAAAUACAAACAUACUCAAACACGGUGUUGGAACAGAGCAGCACAUGAC